CUGUGUUGCUCUCCCAGGCGGAGGUCCAUGGAAUAUGCUGAAAGUUUUUGCGCCCUUGUUCAGCUCAAGGAGCUUUCCUUGUGGGUGAGGGGGAAAACACCAGGAAUGGAAUUAGGAAGCCCCGGCUUUAGCCCAGAUUACCUAUGUCCACCAUAUGUGAAAUGAGGCACGCAUGGGAGAGCUGCUGCAUCAUCACUGUGACAAUGACGACUGGAACCCCCCUCAGGUUUAUCAGUGGACAGAUUUGUAGUAUGGACUGCUAGGGUUAAAGAAAGGAAGCACUUAAAGUCUUCAAGAUAAAGGUUGGCUAUGGCAUGUAGAGACACAACUCCUUUUCUGCCUCUGGUCACAGCUAAAACCUCAAUGGUCCUACAAUGCAGGCCAGGACUGCAUCAGCUGAAGACAUCCAAGUUCCUUGAGAACCCAGUAGUAAGAGAAAGGUUUCACCUACCUGGAGAGGGAUAAAUUCUUUAUCAGCUCAAAUGGAUUCGAGGGACUCAAUGCAGGGUCGUGAGGAGAGUUAAGGGAAUACAUACAGCACUCCUAGCUCCAGAAAGGAGGAGGCUGAAGAGUUUACCUGAGCCAGAGGGAUUAGGAAGCUACUAGGAAGGGCUGCUUGCGGGCUGUUGGUAUGGAGUGAGCAUUUACAGGACCCAGAAAAAGAGGGAACAGGGGAAAAAUACCUGCACAUGGGUCUUCUAGCCUUUACCCUGCAGGUACCUUGCACUGACUGAAGCUACCCAGAAGCCACGUGCCCCUCUGGGAUACAGAACAGGCAAGCAAACAAAGAAGAACCAGGACUUUGCUCAAAAGUAUUAUGUGAUACAGCAAUCAUGGUUCCUUUACUUCUAGGUCAUGCUGCUGAGGCAUCAGCAUACAGAGGAAGGAUUGGCUGAAACAUCUUUCAAAGCUCUAAGUCAUUGAUGGCGAACCUUUUAGAGCUUUUAAUGAUACAAACAGGCCGCUGCAGCAUGUGUGCCACAGGACCACCACUACUGCUCUAAAUACAUACUGUAAAUUAUUGAAGAGUCAUAUCCAUGUCUCAAGUUCACCAUGCAUCAACCACAACACCUGCCACAGGCAAGGAAAGCUGUUAUGGAGGGGAAAGUGACUAGCUCCCCUGCUUACAGUCACACAAUCUCUCACCUCUGAACUCGCAGAACACUCUUUAAAAAUUGUAUAUAUUUUGGGAAUACAGCAGAUGUGUGCGCACACAGCUGGAUGAUUAAAUCAAUCCAAUUAACACAUCCACCACUGCAUAUACUAUUUUUUAUUGUGAGAACAUUUAAAAAUCUACUUUGCUAUUUUCAAGUACAUACAUUAAUACAUUAUGAACUAUAGUCAUCAUGCUGCACCAUGAUCUCCAGAAUGUACUCCUUGUAACAAACCUUGUGACUUUUGACCAACAUCUCCCCAUCAUACCAAUUCUACUCUCUGCUUCUCUGAGUUUGGCUUUUCAGCUUUCACAUGUGAGAUCAUACAGUUUUGCCUUUCUGUUCCUGUCUUAUCUCAUUUAGCAUAAAGGACAUCAAUGUUGCAAACAGCAUUUUCUUCUUUGUGAAGGCUGAAUAAUGUAUCACUGUGUAUUCACAGCACAUUCUUUAACCAACCAUGCAUCUGUUGAUGGACACAUAGAACUGAGGUGGGAUGGAAGAUUUAAGUAGAAAGGACACAAGGAAAUCAAGAUUUUUAAAACUGUAAAGAAAAACUGCUGCUUCACAAUGCAAGACUACUUUAUUUACUUUUUUUUUUUCCUUCUCCAGAAACAGCAAACCUAGGCAACUCCCUUACAGGGAGAGGCAAAUGGUUUUGCCCAUUCCUUUUUACUUGCCAAUGGUCCUCUGCCACCCAUGAAUGGACCACAAUCUUGUCUCUCACUAGAGGUGGGCCAUCCUCUCCUACUCAUUAAGACUACAGAUUAUCAAAUUCCACAGAUUUCCACUUCAUAAAACACUUGAAAGAUCCCCAGUUCCCACUCUAUUGGGCCCUAUUA